rnacentral:rRNA from 1 species
UAACUGAAGAGUUUGAUCAUGGCUCAGAUUGAACGCUGGCGGCAGGCUUAACACAUGCAAGUCGAGCGGGGGAAGGUAGCUUGCUACCGGACCUAGCGGCGGACGGGUGAGUAAUGCUUAGGAAUCUGCCUAUUAGUGGGGGACAACAUCUCGAAAGGGAUGCUAAUACCGCAUACGUCCUACGGGAGAAAGCAGGGGAUCUUCGGACCUUGCGCUAAUAGAUGAGCCUAAGUCGGAUUAGCUAGUUGGUGGGGUAAAGGCCUACCAAGGCGACGAUCUGUAGCGGGUCUGAGAGGAUGAUCCGCCACACUGGGACUGAGACACGGCCCAGACUCCUACGGGAGGCAGCAGUGGGGAAUAUUGGACAAUGGGGGGAACCCUGAUCCAGCCAUGCCGCGUGUGUGAAGAAGGCCUUAUGGUUGUAAAGCACUUUAAGCGAGGAGGAGGCUACUCUAGUUAAUACCUAGGGAUAGUGGACGUUACUCGCAGAAUAAGCACCGGCUAACUCUGUGCCAGCAGCCGCGGUAAUACAGAGGGUGCGAGCGUUAAUCGGAUUUACUGGGCGUAAAGCGUGCGUAGGCGGCUUAUUAAGUCGGAUGUGAAAUCCCCGAGCUUAACUUGGGAAUUGCAUUCGAUACUGGUGAGCUAGAGUAUGGGAGAGGAUGGUAGAAUUCCAGGUGUAGCGGUGAAAUGCGUAGAGAUCUGGAGGAAUACCGAUGGCGAAGGCAGCCAUCUGGCCUAAUACUGACGCUGAGGUACGAAAGCAUGGGGAGCAAACAGGAUUA